rnacentral:lncRNA from 1 species
AAGAAGAAGAGAAAAAAACAAAAACUAAGAGGCAAGCCUCAGAAGUAUGAAUGAGAAAUCAAAUAUCCAAAGGUCAAACUAGCAAGUAAGAAUUUCGCACAUAUAUGAUCAAUGUACACACCAAAAUAUUAUUCAAGAUUGAAAGGAGAAAAAUAAGAAGUGUUUAUAAGGAAAGUCAAUAUGCAAGACAACAAAAAGAAUGAAGUCCCUUUAGCAGACCCACUAAACUUCCCCGAGUUGCUUGAAGUCAC